rnacentral:rRNA from 1 species
GACGUAGGCGCUAAGCCUUAUCCGGAAUUACUGGGCGUAAAGCGCACGCAGGUGGCUACUUCAGUCUGACGUAAAAGCUCCUGGCUUAACUGGGAGAGGUCGUUGGAAACUGAAAGGCUUGAGGCGAUGAGAGGGGUAUGGAAUUCUCGGUGUAGUGGUGGAAUGCGUAGAGAUCGGGAGGAACACCAGUGGCGAAAGCGAUACCCUUGCGUUAGCCUGACGCUCCUGUGCGAAAGCGUGGGGAGCGAACGGG